UACGAGGGGGGCGAGCGUUGUUCGGAAUUAUUGGGCGUAAAGGGUGCGUAGGCGGUUUGGUAAGUCUUAUGUGAAAUCUAUGGGCUCAACUCAUAGUCUGCAUGAGAAACUGCCGGGCUUGAGUGUGGGAGAGGUGAGUGGAAUUUCCGGUGUAGCGGUGAAAUGCGUAGAUAUCGGAAGGAACACCUGUGGCGAAGGCAGCUCGCUGGGACGGUACUGACGCUGAGACGCGAAAGCGUGGGGAGCAAACAGG
rnacentral:rRNA from 1 species